GUGCUUGCACCUUUCAAGUGAGUGGCGAACGGGUGAGUAACACGUGGACAACCUGCCUCAAGGCUGGGGAUAACAUUUGGAAACAGAUGCUAAUACCGAAUGAAACUUAGUGUCGCAUGAUACGAAGUUAAAAGGCGCUUUGGCGUCACCUAGAGAUGGAUCCGCGGUGCAUUAGUUAGUUGGUGGGGUAAAGGCCUACCAAGACAAUGAUGCAUAGCCGAGUUGAGAGACUGAUCGGCCACAUUGGGACUGAGACACGGCCCAAACUCCUACGGGAGGCUGCAGUAGGGAAUCUUCCACAAUGGGCGAAAGCCUGAUGGAGCAACGCCGCGUGUGUGAUGAAGGCUUUCGGGUCGUAAAGCACUGUUGUAUGGGAAGAACAGCUAGAAUAGGGAAUGAUUUUAGUUUGACGGUACCAUACCAGAAAGGGACGGCUAAAUACGUGCCAGCAGCCGCGGUAAUACGUAUGUCCCGAGCGUUAUCCGGGAUUUAUUGGGCGUAAAGCGAGCGCAGACGGUUGAUUAAGUCUGAUGUGAAAGCCCGGAGCUCAACUCCGGAAUGGCAUUGGAAACUGGUUAACUUGAGUGCAGUAGAGGUAAGUGGAACUCCAUGUGUAGCGGUGGAAUGCGUAGAUAUAUGGAAGAACACCAGUGGCGAAGGCGGCUUACUGGACUGUAACUGACGUUGAGGCUCGAAAGUGUGGGUAGCAAACAGGAUUAGAUACCCUGGUAGUCCACACCGUAAACGAUGAACACUAGGUGUUAGGAGGUUUCCGCCUCUUAGUGCCGAAGCUAACGCAUUAAGUGUUCCGCCUGGGGAGUACGACCGCAAGGUUGAAACUCAAAGGAAUUGACGGGGACCCGCACAAGCGGUGGAGCAUGUGGUUUAAUUCGAAGCAACGCGAAGAACCUUACCAGGUCUUGACAUCCUUUGAAGCUUUUAGAGAUAGAAGUGUUCUCUUCGGAGACAAAGUGACAGGUGGUGCAUGGUCGUCGUCAGCUCGUGUCGUGAGAUGUUGGGUUAAGUCCCGCAACGAGCGCAACCCUUAUUGUUAGUUGCCAGCAUUCAGAUGGGCACUCUAGCGAGACUGCCGGUGACAAACCGGAGGAAGGCGGGGACGACGUCAGAUCAUCAUGCCCCUUAUGACCUGGGCUACACACGUGCUACAAUGGCGUAUACAACGAGUUGCCAACCCGCGAGGGUGA
rnacentral:rRNA from 1 species